GACACGGAAUGUUGUUUACAUCUAAAAACGUGGCGACAUCAGCUGAGAUUUGCAGUUGAUUUAAAUGCAAUAACCACACAAUCUUAAAAGAAAAUAGGGAUGAAAUAAGAGACACGGCAUUGCUUCUUCCUUUUACGAGAAUAUGAGGACAUUAUUUCGGAAAAUAGCAGAAAACUGAGACGAUAUGCACCAGAUCCGUAGAUCCAUCACUGCACUGAAAUUCCAGGCCAGCUGUCAAGAGUAUCAGGCUUAAAGAAAUAAAUAAAUGAAAAAUGCAUCAUUUCUCCACAGGGCAUAGCUUUUCCCGUGGACUAAUGGAUUCACUCAGGCAGGAAGUUAAUUUAAGGAAAAUGGUAUGCUCAAUAUUAGCUAUAAAU